rnacentral:lncRNA from 1 species
GAGUGAGUCAGUCUCUUUCUGUGAUGAUACGUGGAGUGUGUGAGUGAGUCAGUCUCUUUCUGUGAUGAUACGUGGAGUGUGUGAGUCAGUCUCUUUCUGUGAUGAUACGUGGAGUGUGUGAGUGAGUCAGUCUCUUUCUGUGAUGAUACGUGGAGUGUGUGGAUCAGUCUCUUUCUGUGAGAAUACGUGGAGUGUGUGAGUGAGUCAGUCUCUUUCUGUGAUGAUACGUGGAGUGUGUGAGUCAGUCUCUUUCUGUGAUGAUACGUGGAGUGUGUGUGUGAGCCAGUCUCUUUCUGUGAUGAUACGUGGAGUGUGUGAGAGUCUCCCAGUCUCUUUCUGUGAUGAUAUGUGGAGUGUGUGAGUGAGCCAGUCUCUUUCUGUGAUGAUACGUGGAGUGUGUGAGUGAGUCAGUCUCUUUCUGUGAUGAUACGUG